AGAGAAACUAGUACCAA
rnacentral:tRNA from 1 species